rnacentral:rRNA from 1 species
AUUGAACGCUGGCGGCAGGCCUAACACAUGCAAGUCGAGCGAGCGACGGACGGGUGAGUAAUGUCAGGGAAACUGCCUGAUGGAGGGGGAUAACUACUGGAAACGGUAGCUAAUACCGCAUACAAUCAGACGUGCCCAGAUGGGCUUAGCUAGUAGGUGUGGUACCGGCUCACCAAGGCGACGAUCACUAGUUGGUCUGAGAGGAGGACCAGCCACACUGGAACUGAGACACGGUGCAGACUCAUACGGGAGGCAGCAGUGGGGAAUAUUGCACAAGGGGCGCAAGCCUGAUGCAGCCAUGCCGCGUGUGUGAAGAAGGCCUUCGGGUUGUAAAGCACUUUAAGCGGGGAGGCGUUACCCGCAGAAGAAGCACCGGCUAACUCCGUGCCAGCAGCCGCGGUAAUUC